CCCCGGGAUAACCGCCCGAAAGGACGGGUAAUACCGGAUACCCCCGGGCGCCGCAUGGCGCCCGGGCUAAAGCCCCGACGGGAGGGGAUGGCUCCGCGGCCCAUCAGGUAGACGGCGGGGUGACGGCCCACCGUGCCGACAACGGGUAGCCGGGUUGAGAGACCGACCGGCCAGAUUGGGACUGAGACACGGCCCAGACUCCUACGGGAGGCAGCAGUGGGGAAUCUUGCGCAAUGGGGGGAACCCUGACGCAGCGACGCCGCGUGCGGGACGGAGGCCUUCGGGUCGUAAACCGCUUUCAGCAGGGAAGAGUCAAGACUGUACCUGCAGAAGAAGCCCCGGCUAACUACGUGCCAGCAGCCGCGGUAAUACGUAGGGGGCGAGCGUUAUCCGGAUUCAUUGGGCGUAAAGCGCGCGUAGGCGGCCCGGCAGGCCGGGGGUCGAAGCGGGGGGCUCAACCCCCCGAAGCCCCCGGAACCUCCGCGGCUUGGGUCCGGUAGGGGAGGGUGGAACACCCGGUGUAGCGGUGGAAUGCGCAGAUAUCGGGUGGAACACCGGUGGCGAAGGCGGCCCUCUGGGCCGAGACCGACGCUGAGGCGCGAAAGCUGGGGGAGCGAACAGGAUUAGAUACCCUGGUAGUCCCAGCCGUAAACGA
rnacentral:rRNA from 1 species